CAGCGGUGAUAUCCAGCGAGGGGUGCAGGGAUGAUAGUGACUGUACUCACGUGACAUGUGACAGUUCCUCAAAGCUGGCCUGCUCUCAUGGACAAUGCACCUGUCUGGUUGCAGCCAAUGCUGGUACCUGCUUUUCAGCCACAUGUACCGCCCGCGCCGACUGCGACAGCUGUAAUUGUAGAGACAGCCAUCAAGAACGUCAUUGCUUUGACGGCCACUGUCUUUGUGGACAUGGUCCAUCGGGACCUGGUGGACCAGGGGUAGGGAAAUAAAUGAGAAACCCCAUGGAAAGACUCCAUAUCACGUGGAUCCAUACAUGUAUACAUGUAAAAUAAAUCUGCAAAUACA
rnacentral:misc_RNA from 1 species